CUCGUUUUCACUGACAAGCGGUACAUGACCAUGUGCCAGUUAGGCCGCAGAGAGAGGCUCGCUUGUUGGCAGCACGGUUUGAUUGUGGGUCAAAAAUCCAGCAGAGCAAGUUUGUAGUAAGGUCUAGUUACAUUUACAUUUUAGUCAUUUAGCAGACACUCUUAUCCAGAGCGACUUACAUUAGUGAGUGCAUACAUUUCAUUAAAAAAAAUUGUACUGGCCCCCUGUGGGAAUCAAACCCACAACCCUGGCGUUGCACACACCAUGCUGGCAUUGCAAACACCAUGCUCUAACAACUGAGCCACAGGGAAGACCAGUUAUUCAAUUGCUAAAUAGUAAUAUACUCUAAAACGCUCUGGUGACAAACAAACUUCACUGCCCUGUUUCCAAUCGUCCACAUGGCUGGGAGAACCUAUUCAAGAAGAUACAGAGAGCUGUAAAAGCCGGUCAAGCAGAUGAAGAGGUCCCAAUGAAGAGUAGUGGCUCUCAGUCCUGGAUUCAUUUGUGAUGCUGUCCUUGAUAUGAUCUUGCUAUUGUCACAUGCACAUAUACCUUGUAACUGGUGAUUCCUUCAAAACGAUUUCCUACAGUUACGUGUAGGGCACUGCAAGGUUGGGUGACCAGGGCCAUCUGGGACUGCCUCCUGGAGGAAUUCAGGUGUGUGUGAAGGCUACCUGUGUCCUGCAUAACUUCAUGAGGAUGGACACAAGGACCAGGAGGGGAUCUGCAGCUCGCCGCCGCGUGCCAGAGUAGAAGUCUGCUGCUCUGCAGGAUGUUUCAAGGAUGGGGUCCAACAACGUAGCAAGAGAGGCAAUCCGUGUGCAAGAGAUCUUCACCUCCUACUUCUUCGAAGAGGGUGCUGUUCCCUGGCAACACCAUAGACUACACUAUGCACAACCAAAGGCUCUUUUAAGAGCUAUUCACAUUGCAAUAAGAGUAUUCUUCCAUUUACUGAGCUAUGUCAACUGCAGUUAUUCAAUUCUCAGUUUCUCUCCCUUUGAUUUCUACUUCUCAUGUGAGGGUGCUAUUUAGGUAAGGGUGUGAUGUCUACAAAAGCAAAACAGGCUAUUUUAAAUCACCCAUAUUGAAACAAUUUGGAACAAUUAGACACCCUAUAACCCACACGUACACUCAUGUAUCAAUCUGAUUGAUGGAUUGUGUUGUGCAGUAAGCAGGUUCAGGUGUAUAACUGUGGCUCCUUCCACCUUCAAAUAAUAGGCAAGAGGGACAACCGUGGAGAAUAGUAAGACACUUCAUUAUUUCUAUAACUACGCUAUAUUGUUUGUCCUCGUGUGUCUGUGCAUGUUUUUCCAGCAUAAAGUACUCUGCAGCCACUUAGUGUGGUGUGGACACCAGGUUAUAUCAGCUGUGGUUCGUGAACCCCUACUGCAUCUGAACUGGCUGACAGAGAGGGCACAGCAUGAUCAGAGGUAUGAUUUGAUGUGAGGAUGCCAACCCCCAGUCCCGUCAUCGCCACCUCACCCGCUCUUAAGACAACCUUCGGUCCGACGAGAGACACUAUUAUGUAAUUGUGAUGAACUGAGAGAAUAUUUGGGUAGCACUGUGAUUCAUUAAUCAUAUGCUGCCUUCCCUGCUCCUAUGUUCUUACCUCUUUCCCUUUGUUUUUUACACCUCUCUCACCACCUCCUCUUUC
rnacentral:lncRNA from 1 species